rnacentral:rRNA from 1 species
GUAGUUAGCCGGGGCUUCCUCCUUGGCUACCGUCACUUUCUUCGUCACCAAGGACAGAGGUUUACAACCCGAAAGCCUUCUUCCCUCACGCGGCGUUGCUGGGUCAGGCUUGCGCCCAUUGCCCAAUAUUCCCCACUGCUGCCUCCCGUAGGAGUCUGGACCGUGUCUCAGUUCCAGUGUGGCCGAUCAGCCUCUCAGCUCGGCUACCCAUCGUUGGCUAGGUGGGCCGUUACCCCGCCUACUACCUAAUGGGACGCGAACCCCUCCUUUAGCGGAUUUCUCCUUUGACCUCUGUGUCAUGCGGCACUGUGGUCUUAUGCGGUAUUAGCACCUGUUUCCAAGUGUUAUCCCCCUCUAAAGGGCAGGUUGUUCACGCGUUACUCACCCGUUCGCCACUAAGUACAAAACCGAAAUUCUGUACUCCGUUCGACUUUGCAUGUGUUAGGCACGCCGCCAGCGUUCGUCCUGAGCCCAGGAAUCGAAACCUUCGACGUACGUAGACGGGCGGUCGGUCGGAACGACGGGCCGACGUAGUAG